rnacentral:rRNA from 1 species
UACGAAGGGAGCUAGCGUUGUUCGGAAUCACUGGGCGUAAAGCGCACGUAGGCGGAUUUGUCAGUCAGGGGUGAAAUCCCGGGGCUCAACCUCGGAACUGCCUUUGAUACAGCAAGUCUUGAGUUCGAGAGAGGUGGGUGGAAUUCCUAGUGUAGAGGUGAAAUUCGUAGAUAUUAGGAAGAACACCAGUGGCGAAGGCGGCCCACUGGUCCGGUACUGACGCUGAGGUGCGAAAGCGUGGGGAGCAAACAGG